UACGGGGGGUGCGAGCGUUGUCCGGAAUCACUGGGCGUAAAGGGCGCGUAGGUGGUUUGAUAAGGGUGUGGUGAAAGUCCGGGGCUCAACCCCGGAUCUGCCGUGCCGACUGUCAAACUCGAGGGCUGUAGAGGCAGACGGAAUUCCGGGUGUAGCGGUGGAAUGCGUAGAGAUCCGGAGGAAGACCGGUGGCGAAGGCGGUCUGCUGGGCAGUUUCUGACACUGAUGCGCGACAGCGUGGGGAGCAACAGG
rnacentral:rRNA from 1 species